rnacentral:lncRNA from 10 species
AGAUCUGCCUUCUUUGACAGACAGAGGGCUUUGAAACUCAAAUGGGGCAAGGAAAGAGACAGAGAGUGGGUGUUUGUGAAAAGCCAGGUAAAGUUUACUUGUGGCGGGGAUGGGGGAGGUGACAGGGCCACUGUCUCUGCGGGGAUGCUGUGCCGUGACCAGCAUCCCCACAGAGAAGGCUCCAGUCCUCUCACCCCCUCCCGCCUCCCCAGGAACCACGGGCACACUGGCCCCACGCUGGCGGGAUUGCUUCUACAGGAUCUGCAAAAGUAUUGCUGUAAGGAUGGAGAGAGAGAGGCAUUCUUAAAGCACUGAUGAAACGCAGAGAAUUGUGGCUGGUUGUUAGAAUAUACUGCGGAGACGGAUGAAACAAAAUCGGCAAAAUGCUGAUCACUGUAGACGCUGGGAGAUGGGUACGGCACAAGGAGAGUCACUAAGCUCUUCCCUCUAGUUUUGUGUAUGUUUAAAAUUUUCCCAACU